GAAAGCGUUGCCGCAGGCAACGACCCGAAGGGCGAAACGCGCAGCGCUGAGUCAUCCUUCCCCCACCACCA
rnacentral:sRNA from 1 species